ensembl:lncRNA
GUGCCUCUGAGUCUGUGCAGGAAGAAGGUACCCAGAGACCCUCACUCCUUCAGGUGGAGGGCCACUUGCUCAGAUGGCCUUGGAGUUUACUGUGCACCUUAGCCAGGCAUGCAGAUAAGUGGAAUGAUGGGAUUGGGGUGCAUUGUGUUGAGUCAGUCCACCUGGCAAGAUACCUGAACCUCAGCACCUGAUCCUGGAUGUUGGGUGAGGGCAUUGGACAAGAUGACCUGACGAUCCUUCCACUUCAGGCCCAUGCUUUUCUAGUUAGCGGUUUUCAGAGCUCACCUGCUCCAGGUGUGCCUCUAGUCUCCGUUCACUAGUCAUGUCUGAAUCCCGGAGGUGUCUAUGGAACAGUUGCCAGAAACCAACAAACCGAGGACUGGAAAGGAAGCAAGCUGAAUGCCAUCCAGAGGAUCAUCUUGCCAGUACUGCUCCGCUUGUAAAAACCAUCUUGGCCAAAUCCCUGUGAUUUCAUCCAGAACAAAUAAUAAAAAGCAGUGUGCAAU